UCUACUCACUGGGCUAUAGAGCUCAUCCCACUCCCUUAAUCCCAGUCUUGCAGGAUUCAGUGUACAGUGUACAGAGGGAAAGUCCAGAAGAGUUCAGAAAGAGAAACUGAGACUUGUAAUAGUUUAGAGUGGACAUGUAUUUAUAAAGAGAUGUAUUAGUUAUGUUAGAUUUGUGCUUGACAUAGUUGUGUUGUAAAUCUGUUAUUAUGUACAUGAUCUGUGUAUGUUUAUGAUUUUACUGAGUAUGUGAAAAACCAGG
rnacentral:lncRNA from 1 species